rnacentral:rRNA from 1 species
GGGCCCGCACAAGCGGUGGAGCAUGUGGUUUAAUUCGAUGAUACGCGAGGAACCUUACCAGGACUUAAAUGUAAGUUGCAUGAUUCAGAAAUGAAUCUUUCUUCGGACUACUUACAAGGUGCUGCAUGGUUGUCGUCAGCUCGUGCCGUGAGGUGUCAGGUUAAGUCCUAUAACGAGCGCAACCCCUAUCAUUAGUUGCCAUCAGGUUAAGCUGGGGACUCUAAUGAAACUGCCUACGCAAGUAGAGAGGAAGGCGGGGACGACGUCAAGUCAUCAUGGCCCUUACGCCCAGGGCUACACACGUGCUACAAUGGUAGGUACAAUGAGAAGCUACUUGGUAACAAGACGCAAACCUCAAAAAGCCUAAUCUCAGUUCGGAUUGAGGUCUGCAACUCGACCUCAUGAAGUUGGAUUCGCUAGUAAUCG